GGUUAAGCGACUAAGCGUACACGGUGGAUGCCCUGGCAGUCAGAGGCGAUGAAGGACGUGCUAAUCUGCGAAAAGCGCCGGCGAGGUGAUAUGAACCUUUGACCCGGCGAUGUCCGAAUGGGGAAACCCAGUGUGUUCCGACACACUAUCGUUAACUGAAUACAUAGGUUAACGAGGCGAACCGGGGGAACUGAAACAUCUAAGUACCCCGAGGAAAAGAAAUCAACCGAGAUUCCCCCAGUAGCGGCGAGCGAACGGGGAGCAGCCCAGAGUCUGAAUCAGCUUGUGUGUUAGUGGAAGCGUCUGGAAAGUCGCACGGUACAGGGUGACAGUCCCGUACACGAAAGCACACAGGUUGUGAACUCGAAGAGUAGGGCGGGACACGUGGUAUCCUGUCUGAAUAUGGGGGGACCAUCCUCCAAGGCUAAAUACUCCUGACUGACCGAUAGUGAACCAGUACCGUGAGGGAAAGGCGAAAAGAACCCCGGCGAGGGGAGUGAAAAAGAACCUGAAACCGUGUACGUACAAGCAGUGGGAGCACCUUCGUGGUGUGACUGCGUACCUUUUGUAUAAUGGGUCAGCGACUUAUAUUCUGUAGCAAGGUUAACCGUAUAGGGGAGCCGAAGGGAAACCGAGUCUUAACUGGGCGUUAAGUUGCAGGGUAUAGACCCGAAACCCGGUGAUCUAGCCAUGGGCAGGUUGAAGGUUGGGUAACACUAACUGGAGGACCGAACCGACUAAUGUUGAAAAAUUAGCGGAUGACUUGUGGCUGGGGGUGAAAGGCCAAUCAAACCGGGAGAUAGCUGGUUCUCCCCGAAAGCUAUUUAGGUAGCGCCUCGUGAACUCAUCUUCGGGGGUAGAGCACUGUUUCGGCUAGGGGGCCAUCCCGGCUUACCAACCCGAUGCAAACUACGAAUACCGAAGAAUGUUAUCACGGGAGACACACGGCGGGUGCUAACGUCCGUCGUGAAGAGGGAAACAACCCAGACCGCCAGCUAAGGUCCCAAAGUCAUGGUUAAGUGGGAAACGAUGUGGGAAGGCACAGACAGCCAGGAUGUUGGCUUAGAAGCAGCCAUCAUUUAAAGAAAGCGUAAUAGCUCACUGGUCGAGUCGGCCUGCGCGGAAGAUGUAACGGGGCUAAACCAUGCACCGAAGCUGCGGCAGCGACGCUUAUGCGUUGUUGGGUAGGGGAGCGUUCUGUAAGCCGUUGAAGGUGUGCUGUGAGGCAUGCUGGAGGUAUCAGAAGUGCGAAUGCUGACAUAAGUAACGAUAAAGCGGGUGAAAAGCCCGCUCGCCGGAAGACCAAGGGUUCCUGUCCAACGUUAAUCGGGGCAGGGUGAGUCGACCCCUAAGGCGAGGCCGAAAGGCGUAGUCGAUGGGAAACAGGUUAAUAUUCCUGUACUUGGUGUUACUGCGAAGGGGGGACGGAGAAGGCUAUGUUAGCCGGGCGACGGUUGUCCCGGUUUAAGCAUGUAGGCGGAACGAUUAGGUAAAUCCGGUCGUUUAUUAACGCUGAGGUGUGAUGACGAGGCACUACGGUGCUGAAGUAACAAAUGCCCUGCUUCCAGGAAAAGCCUCUAAGCAUCAGGUAACAUCAAAUCGUACCCCAAACCGACACAGGUGGUCAGGUAGAGAAUACCAAGGCGCUUGAGAGAACUCGGGUGAAGGAACUAGGCAAAAUGGUGCCGUAACUUCGGGAGAAGGCACGCUGAUAUGUAGGUGAAGCCCCUGCGGGUGGAGCUGAAAUCAGUCGAAGAUACCAGCUGGCUGCAACUGUUUAUUAAAAACACAGCACUGUGCAAACACGAAAGUGGACGUAUACGGUGUGACGCCUGCCCGGUGCCGGAAGGUUAAUUGAUGGGGUUAGCGGCAACGCGAAGCUCUUGAUCGAAGCCCCGGUAAACGGCGGCCGUAACUAUAACGGUCCUAAGGUAGCGAAAUUCCUUGUCGGGUAAGUUCCGACCUGCACGAAUGGCGUAAUGAUGGCCAGGCUGUCUCCACCCGAGACUCAGUGAAAUUGAACUCGCUGUGAAGAUGCAGUGUACCCGCGGCAAGACGGAAAGACCCCGUGAACCUUUACUAUAGCUUGACACUGAACACUGGUCCUUGAUGUGUAGGAUAGGUGGGAGGCUUUGAAGCGUGGACGCCAGUCUGCGUGGAGCCGUCCUUGAAAUACCACCCUUUAAUGGCUGGUGUUCUAACGUAGACCCGUAAUCCGGGUUGCGGACAGUGUCUGGUGGGUAGUUUGACUGGGGCGGUCUCCUCCCAAAGAGUAACGGAGGAGCACGAAGGUUAGCUAAUCCUGGUCGGACAUCAGGAGGUUAGUGCAAUGGCAUAAGCUAGCUUGACUGCGAGAGUGACGGCUCGAGCAGGUGCGAAAGCAGGUCAUAGUGAUCCGGUGGUUCUGAAUGGAAGGGCCAUCGCUCAACGGAUAAAAGGUACUCCGGGGAUAACAGGCUGAUACCGCCCAAGAGUUCAUAUCGACGGCGGUGUUUGGCACCUCGAUGUCGGCUCAUCACAUCCUGGGGCUGAAGUAGGUCCCAAGGGUAUGGCUGUUCGCCAUUUAAAGUGGUACGCGAGCUGGGUUUAGAACGUCGUGAGACAGUUCGGUCCCUAUCUGCCGUGGGCGCUGGAGAAUUGAGGGGGGCUGCUCCUAGUACGAGAGGACCGGAGUGGACGCAUCACUGGUGUUCGGGUUGUCAUGCCAAUGGCACUGCCCGGUAGCUAAAUGCGGAAAAGAUAAGUGCUGAAAGCAUCUAAGCACGAAACUUGCCCCGAGAUGAGUUCUCCCUGAGACUUUAAGUCUCCUGAAGGAACGUUGAAGACGACGACGUUGAUAGGUCGGGUGUGUAAGCGCAGCGAUGCGUUGAGCUAACCGAUACUAAUGAACCGUGAGGCUUAACCUU
rnacentral:rRNA from 1 species